rnacentral:tRNA from 1 species
GGAGAGGUGGCCGAGCGGUUGAAGGCGCGCGCUUGGAAAGCGUGUGUAGGUUAACCCCUACCGAGGGUUCGAAUCCCUCCCUCUCCG